UAAAACUGAAACUGAGAGAGAGAGAAAGAGAGAGCACACGUGCCCUUUCAUAAUUCUCCAAGGGGAUAAUUAUCAGCUUUUUUUUUUUUCUCCUGAGCUCAGUUGCAGUCCAGCCUAUUUCUUCAAGAAUUAUAAUUAACUCCUCUCUGUUUUUUGCCUUAGCUAGCCUAAGUAGAUUUCUCUUGUUUACAACCCAACACACCCGUAUUAUGCCCCUCCGUUGUUGCCAUUCAUGGUAUACCAGUUCCAUGCCCUGUGGGAGGUGCUGUCUCUGGCUUGAAAGCCAAUGGGCCUCAAGUGUCAAAGAACAAAGGAGCCCAAAAGGCUGGAGCUAUUCACCCAAGUCUCCAAUUGUGUAAGUGAUCCAGAAGGAACAACUAAUUAACUUAUUGGCUGCUGUGGCAGGCAGCUUUUUAAGAUGCCCUGGAUGAUACAUGACUCUUAUUAUUUACAUCCUUGUGUGACCAUUUCCCUCUGAAUGUGUGCUAGACCAGUGACUUGCUUCUAAUCAAUGGAAUAUGGCAAAAAUGAUGGAUGAGAUUAAGCUAUGAAGAACUGUGGUUUCUGUCUUAUUCCCUUUUUUUUUUUUUAACCAUGCAACAAAACGCUUAUUAACAUUUUGAGCAGGUUCAGCUAUUACCGAAACUGGUAAUUUAUAAACUUAAAUUGGGGCAAAUGGCUUUAGUGCAGAGUAGUGCCAUCACUUGUCACUACGAAUGCAAGACUGAAGAAUUAAUAGCCACCCCUCAGAUGGAGGACCAGGUGCAGGGCUG
rnacentral:lncRNA from 1 species